GAACUCCUGUUACGUCCUGACCAUGAUCACGAAGGUGGUUUUCCCAGGGCGAGGCUUCUCCAUUGCACUCCAGAUGUGCAGACCCCUGAGGGUUCCCCCAAUGCAGGGAACUCGUCUGCAUAAUUUGUGGUAGUGGGGGACGUGCGCUCACGCUCCCCCUGC